rnacentral:lncRNA from 1 species
GAUCAAUUACCUCUUACCUCCAUCAGCAACAAAAGCGUAUCUGCACUGCAGCCUAGCUAGCUUUGCUUUCACUUCCAAGAGCCCUCUAUCUUAUCAUCUCAAAGAGUUCAGUUAAAUCUAGCAGAGCCAGAGAGACUACAUCAACUAGUUUAAAAUGGACCACUGAGAGGUGUGCUUUUGUGUCCGCAAGGGAUCUUUGUCUUCUGAUUUCACUUCUUUUUCCAUCUCUCUCUCCUAUGUGAUAAUGACCUUCCCUCAAUGGAGACCCCAACAAUACACACCUACGCGUGAUUUAUUCGGAAAUUUUUUGGCAAGUUACAACUAAAAAUUCGACCACUAUAUAAUAUUUUUUAAUAUUUUAAUAUAUAUUAUUUUAAUUUAAUAAUGUGUGAAAAUUUUGUGUGUAUUAUUUUUACUCAAUGGCAGGAGUUCGGAAUCCGUUGGAAGCACUUUGUGGUCAG